rnacentral:rRNA from 1 species
UACAGAGGUCUCAAGCGUUGUUCGGAUUCAUUGGGCGUAAAGGGUGCGUAGGCGGCGCGGUAAGUCGGGUGUGAAAUCUCGGAGCUUAACUCCGGAACUGCCUUUGAUACUGGCAAUCUAGAGACUGGAAGAGGUUAGUGGAAUUCCCAGUGUAGAGGUGAAAUUCGUAGAUAUUGGGAAGAACACCAGUGGCGAAGGCGGCUAACUGGUCCAGUACUGACGCUGAGGUGCGAAAGCGUGGGGAGCAAACAGG